ensembl:misc_RNA 7SK 7SK RNA
GUAUGUGAGGGCUAUCUGGCUGCGACAUCUGUCACCCCAUUGAUCGCCAGGGUUGAUUCAGCUGAUCUGGCUAGGCGGGUGUCCCCUUCCUCCCUCACCGCUCCAUGAAGCUGCACGCUCGGUCGAAGAGGACUGCCUUCCCCGAAUAGAGAUGGACUGGUCUUCGGUGAGGGUAUAAGAGUAGCUGCGCGCCCCUGCUAGAACUUCCAAACAAGCUCUCAAGAAUUUAUUGUUUUAUCAUAUCCCCAUGAUAGCCUAGGCUACCAAAACAUCAUCUGUUUUGCAAAUCAUAUGAAAUGCCAGUUAUCCUCUUU